GCUUUGAGAUCGGGAAUCUGUCAGCUUUUUGGCAGGCUCGUGUCGGCUCGUGUCAGCCUAUGCAUCUAUAUACGGUCUGGGAUACAGCCCGUGCGUACAUGUUUGGCCCAUCAGCCUGCUCAUGUCCUCUCUGCUCAACCUGUGAUGCUCUUUCUCUGUCGUUCUCGUUCCUGUUCCGUCGCCCAGCCAUCCCCCUUCCUCUCUCUUUCUCAUCUGUGCGUAGUUCCCGCGGUGGUGGUCGUCGGUGACCACGCUCCCCUUCAGCCGUGGCCAGGAGACCGGGUGCAGCCCCACCCUCCCUCGGCUCCUGCGACCGAAGCGCCGGCCCGAGCGCUCGCCCUCUUCCACUCCGACAGCCAAAUCACCCGGAUCCCGCGUCCUCUUCCACUCCGGCGACCGGAUCCCCUCGAGUUUGCGGAACACCGGAUCUGUCCAGGGCGAGGUCCUUGUCCACGGAUCCGGCCGGGAGAAAUCAUUUUCUUCAUUGUUUCCGUCGGCGAGGCUGGAUCACACCUCAUAUUUGUCUUAGGUUCAGUUCAACUAAGAAUGCAAGAUGACAAAAUGCGACAAAUGGUUGAAAAAAUGUGCAGUUCUGCCCCCAGAGAAAAAGAUGCCAUCCAACAAUAUGCAUAGUUGGGUUCCUUGGAAACAUCACCCUUGAACUUUAUGACAGCUUGGAACAGAUGCUUCCACACAUAACCUCCCUAGUUCGAUUCUUUCAUUUUGCCUAUGUUGUUUUAGUGCUUCCAAGAAUAUGUGUACUGUAGUCAUGCCUGGCAGUGGGAGCAAGCACGUGGCCCAUCACAAAAAUUGCAAAAAUGCAAUAUCUUUAAGCAAAUAUGCAUCUGGUGCCUUCAGAUUGUGUGUUUCUUUAUCACUGAGACAAAUAAGCAUCUUGAUCGAUCUUGAUAUAACUAGUUUCCUCAUCAGGUUCUAUUGAUUGCUCCUACGAAUGCAAAUGAUUAGGCAUAACAGAGUAUGUUGGAAAUUUGUC